GAUGAACGCUGGCGGCGUGCCUAAUACAUGCCAGUCGAGCGAACAGACGAGGAGCUUGCUCCUCUGACGUUAGCGGCGGACGGGUGAGUAACACGUGGAUAACCUACCUAUAAGACUGGGAUAACUUCGGGAAACCGGAGCUAAUACCGGAUAAUAUAUUGAACCGCAUGGUUCAAUAGUGAAAGACGGUUUUGCUGUCACUUAUAGAUGGAUCCGCGCCGCAUUAGCUAGUUGGUAAGGUAACGGCUUACCAAGGCAACGAUGCGUAGCCGACCUGAGAGGGUGAUCGGCCACACUGGAACUGAGACACGGUCCAGACUCCUACGGGAGGCAGCAGUAGGGAAUCUUCCGCAAUGGGCGAAAGCCUGACGGAGCAACGCCGCGUGAGUGAUGAAGGUCUUCGGAUCGUAAAACUCUGUUAUUAGGGAAGAACAAAUGUGCAAGUAACUAUGCACGUCUUGACGGUACCUAAUCAGAAAGCCACGGCUAACUACGUG
rnacentral:rRNA from 1 species